GACGAACGCUGGCGGCGUGCUUAACACAUGCAAGUCGAACGGUGAAGCGCCUUCCUUUUUGAGGGGUGUGGUUGAGUGGCGAACGGGUGAGUAACACUUAAGUAACCUGCCCCCUUCUUUUGGAUAACCGAAUGAAAGUGUGGCUAAUACGGGAGAUUCUGGGUCUGUCUCAUGAUGGGUCUGGGUAAGAUAUUGUGGCGGUUGGGGCUGGACUCGCGGCCUAUCAGCUUGUUGGGGGGGUGAUGGCCUACCACGGCGGUGACGGGUAGCCGGACUGAGGGGGUGAGCGGCAACAUUGGGACGGAGAUACGGCCCAGACGCCUACGGGAGGCAGCAGUGGGGAAUAUUGCACAAUGGGCGGAGGACUGAUGCAGCGACGCCGCGUGCGGGAUGACGGCCUUCGGGUUGUAAACCGGGUUCGCCUGUGACGAAGCGGGAGUGACGGUAAUGGGUAAAGAAGCACCGGCUAACUACGUG
rnacentral:rRNA from 1 species